UCUGGCCUGGUCUGGAUCAGGUCAUUGAGCCUGGCCAAUACGACACCGUUUUGGAAACCUCAAAUGGUGUCGUUUCAUGGUUUUCCUAAAACUAAAAAAAAUCAGAAAUAAAACCUAUGUUUAGCCAUUUUAAACGUGAUAAGAAAACAAACUAAAGAAAUGAAAACCCUAGCCUCCCCUCGUUCAGCCGCGCCGCUUCGACAUCGGAGCCCCCAACCAUCCGGUUCCGAUCGGAACCAACGAAGGAUUCGGCUGCGGGUUUAACCAGGUACAGCGUACGGAGACUGACGUGGCGGUACGGAGGUGGCCGUGGCUGGGGAGAGCGGCGCUAUGUGGAGGGGAGCCUGCGGGCUGCGGUGCUGAAAAUUCUGGAAACCCUAGGGGCUUCUGAAAAUUUUCGUUUUAGGCUUCAAUGUAAUUGGGCCGGGGUAUCGGGCUACUGUAAUUGGGUUGGGGAUAUUGGGCUAGGCUAGUGUUUAGGUUAAAAACGAUUUGGGCUAUGUUGGGCCUAUGUAUUUGGACUGUGGAUAUUUAAUUAUUUUUUCUUGUUUUUUUCUGCUUA